rnacentral:rRNA from 1 species
AGAGUUUGAUCCUGGCUCAGGACGAACGCUGGCGGCGUGCCUAAUACAUGCAAGUCGAGCGAGCUUGCCUAGAUGAUUUUAGUGCUUGCACUAAAUGAAACUAGAUACAAGCGAGCGGCGGACGGGUGAGUAACACGUGGGUAACCUGCCCAAGAGACUGGGAUAACACCUGGAAACAGAUGCUAAUACCGGAUAACAACACUAGACGCAUGUCUAGAGUUUGAAAGAUGGUUCUGCUAUCACUCUUGGAUGGACCUGCGGUGCAUUAGCUAGUUGGUAAGGUAACGGCUUACCAAGGCAAUGAUGCAUAGCCGAGUUGAGAGACUGAUCGGCCACAUUGGGACUGAGACACGGCCCAAACUCCUACGGGAGGCAGCAGUAGGGAAUCUUCCACAAUGGACGAAAGUCUGAUGGAGCAACGCCGCGUGAGUGAAGAAGGGUUUCGGCUCGUAAAGCUCUGUUGGUAGUGAAGAAAGAUAGAGGUAGUAACUGGCCUUUAUUUGACGGUAAUUACUUAGAAAGUCACGGCUUACUACGUGCCAGCAGCCGCGGUAAUACGUAGGUGGCAAGCGUUGUCCGGAUUUAUUGGGCGUAAAGCGAGUGCAGGCGGUUCAAUAAGUCUGAUGUGAAAGCCUUCGGCUCAACCGGAGAAUUGCAUCAGAAACUGUUGAACUUGAGUGCAGAAGAGGAGAGUGGAACUCCAUGUGUAGCGGUGGAAUGCGUAGAUAUAUGGAAGAACACCAGUGGCGAAGGCGGCUCUCUGGUCUGCAACUGACGCUGAGGCUCGAAAGCAUGGGUAGCGAACAGGAUUAGAUACCCUGGUAGUCCAUGCCGUAAACGAUGA